GAGGCGGGCUCCAGCUCCUCCGCGCUCCCCGCCGCCCUGUGGCCUGUGCUGGGCUGGGGAACGGAGGCUGAGCCUAGGCGGUAGGACCCUGAGGGCAGCUAACUCCCCAUGGCUGACAGUGGAUCUGGGACGGGUGCAGACUGAUCAUGGGUGAGGCCAUGGGAUCCCUGUAGAAUAAUAGAAUCAAAAUGUUUUCAGUUGGGAAAGACCUUUCAGAUCACCGAGGCAAACCGUUAACUGACUCUGCCAAGCCUGGCGCUGAACCGCAUCCCUCAGCACCACAUCGCUGUGUUUUUUAAACACCUCUAAGGAUGGGGAUUUAGCCACCUCCCUGAGGAGCCCGUUCCAGUGUUUGAGAAUCCUUUUGAUGGAGAAGGUUCUUCUAAUACCCAUCUUAAGUCUCUGGUGCAAUUUGAGGCUACCUGUUACAAGAGAGAAGAGACCAACCCCACAACCGUACUCAAACCUCCUUACGGGGAGUAGCAGGGAGCAAGAAUCUCUGCCUCGGUCUGCUUUUCUGCAGGCCGAACAACCCCAGGUCCCUCAGCCACUCCUCGGAAGAUCUGCUCUUCAGACCCUUCACCAGCUUUGCUGCCCUUCUCUGGACCGGCUCCUGUCACAGGCACACACCAGGACAGCUGUGGCCCAGUCUGCAGGCAGCUCCACCACCCUUCAGAGCAGCACGCUGACACUGAGACCUCCAGAUGCAUUUCUCAACAUCUCAACAUCAAGAUGAUAACAUCAGCAGGAUCACCUCUACAGCAGGCUUGACCCAAGACAGAAGAUGUGACCCAGGUAAGGAGGAGAAACAAGAGCCCCAGUUUACCACAGGAAAACUCCCACUGUGACCACCACCCAUCUGUGUGCCACAACCAAUCACCAUCCCCACACCCAUGGAGUAGAAACCAAG